rnacentral:lncRNA from 1 species
UAAAUAUUUAUCGACUUAUUCGUGCUAAUUCCUAGUUGGAGUCGCCCGUGACCCAUGUUGUUAUUUGCGUACUAAAAAAACAUGUCGUCGAACCAAAAAUAUUUAAGUGAAAAGGAGCUCGAAGAGAUUGUUAAGCAAUACGAACAAGGUGAUGAGGAUAGUAGCUAUGAUUACAAUGACUUAAGUGAUAGUGGAAAUGAAUCUGAUGAUUAUGAAGAGAUGGAUGAAGUACAUGCGGACGAAAUAGUGUAUGAACUAAGUGAAAAUGAAUCAUCCGAUAAAGAUAUACCUUUAGUAAAUCUUCAAAGAAAAGUAAUUUAUGGGAGAAAUGGCUAUAAGUGGUACUCGAAACCUUUUUAAACAAAAAGUACACGAACUAUGAAAAAAAAUUUGGUUCUACAUCUUCCGGGACCUAAAGCUGAAGCACGUAAUGCGAAAAGUGGUUAUGAAGCCUGGAAACUAUUCUUUGAUGAUAAUAUCCUUUAAAAAAUUAUUACUCAUACAAAUGAAGAGAUUAUUAGAAAUCAGGCAAAAUUCUCAAAAGCCCAAAGAUAUAUUGGAGAGACCGAUCAGAUUGAAUUGGAAGCCCUUUUUGGUUUACUGUAUACAAGUGGAGGACUAAAACAUAACCAUGUAAACCUAGACGAGUUGUGGUCUAAAAAAUUUGGCCCACCAAUUUUUAGAGCCACCAUGAGUAAAAACAGAUUUUCUUUUCUUAUAAAAAAUCUUCGUUUUGAUGAUAAGACUACACGAAACCAAAUAAAAGAAAAAGAUAAGUUUUAUGCCAUUCGAGAUAUUUGGGAAGGAUACGUUGAAAAUUGUCGGAAUAAUUAUACCCCAUCAGAAUAUGUCACUAUUGAUGAGCAGCUUUUGGGCUUUCGUGGGCAAUGUCCAUUUCGUAUGUACAUCCCAAAUAAGCCCGAUAAGUACGGCAUCAAAAUUGUAAUGAUGUGCGAUGCCAAAACUUACUAUAUGGUAUCAGGAAUACCCUAUAUUGGCAAGGAAGAUCGUCCAAGCAAUCUUCCUAUUCCCACACAAUAUGUUUUAAAAUUAUCUGAACCCAUACAAAAAACUAAUAGGAAUAUCACAGUAGAUAAUUGGUUUUCAUCAAUGGGUUUAGCAAUGUCACUGAAGGAAGUUGGACUUACAUUAGUAGGUACUCUACGAAAAAACAAACCCGAAGUACCAACCGAAUUUCUUAAACCAAAAAUAUUAGAGAGUAACAGAUUUGCAUUCGAUGAAAAUGUGGUUUUAGUGUCUCAUUCUCCUAGUAAAAAAAAAGUAGUACUUCUUAUGUCAACAAUGCAUAAUAGCAAUGAAGUUGACAACCUAUCAGGCAAGUCUGAAAUUAAUUUGUUUUAUAAUGGUACGAAAUGUGGUGUUGACGUUUUUGACCAGCUAUGUCACGGUAAAUCAGUAUCAAGAAGAACUAAAAGAUGGCCUUUACGAGUUUUAUAUGGCAUGCUUGAUGGAGGUGCCGUAAAUUCAUAUGUAAUUUACCAAGCAAACAACAGCAAUACUAAUAAAAAAUUCCACGAAGAAUGUUCUUAUUGCAGCUGGGCGAGGAACUAACUAUAAAGCAUAUGAAGAGGAGGCUUGAAAUUCCGAAUUUACCAAGUACUCUCAGGCUGCAAAUUUUAGAGAUAUUGGGUAUAGCGGAAAAUAACACCUCUAGACAGGCACCACCUCUUGCAGAAAACAACAAAAGUAAACGCUGCUCUAUUUGUCCUCGGACGCAGGAUAGGAAAGGCAGAGAUCAAUGUGUCAAGUGUGAACGAAAAUUAUGCGCCGAACACAGAGACGCAAUUUGUCAAUUUUGUAUUUAAAUAUUUGGUUGUUUUUUCCUAAUAAAUCUUUUAAAAGUC